CGCUGAGAAGCUUAUACGGACAAAGCGUUAGCCUUUUAAGCUAAAGACAGGUGCCUCCGCCCACCCUCAGUGA
rnacentral:tRNA from 1 species